AUCCUUUUCUAGUUCAUGAGCUGGGUUCUCACACGCUUGCGUGAUAUAUGCCUCCCCCUUUUAACCUUGUUACGACGUGGGCACAUUACCUGAUGAGAAA